CUGUAGCUCAGUUGGAUAGAGCAACGGCCUUCUAAGCCGUGGGUCGGGGGUUCGAAUCCCUUCAG
rnacentral:tRNA from 2 species